GUGAGGCUGAAUAUGUCCUUUACAUCUACUGGCUGCCAGAAUCUCAUUGAAGUGGAUGAUGAAUGUGAAUUUAGUACUUUUUUUUGAAAAGCAUAUGGCCAUAGAAAUCACGACUAAGGCUCUGGGUAAAGAAUGGAAGGGUUAUGUGGUCCAGAUCAAUGGUGGUAAUGACAAAUAAGAUUUCCUCAUGAAGCAGGAUGACUUGAACCAUGGCUGGGUCCUCUUGCUACUGAAUAAGUGGAAUUCUUGUUAUAGACCCAGGGCAACUAGAAAAAAGAAUGUGAAAAUGUUUUGAGUUUCAUUUGGAUGCCAAUCUGUAUGGACUCAACUUCGUUAUAAAAAUAAUUGUGAGAAAAAAAUACAGUAGAGAAAGACAUUUGUCGACUGACUGACACCACAGUGCCUGAUCACCUGGGGCCCAAAAGAGCUAGGAAAAUCACUAACCAUUUAAUUAUCUUUAAAGAGGUAAUAUCUACCAAUAUGUUGUAAGAAAGCCCUUAAACAAAUAAGGUAAGAAACCCAGGAUCAAAGCACCCAAGGUUCAGCAUCUUGUUACUCCGCAUGUCCUGCAACACAAACUCUGGUGUAUUGUUCUGAAAAAAACUGUGUAUCAAGAAAACUAAGGAAGAGUCCACAGAAUAUGCUAAACUUUUAGCCCAGAGAAUGAAGAAAGACAAAAACAGAUCACCAGAAACAGAUUGCCAAGACACAUGGACUGUCAUCUGAGACCUUCUACUUCUUAGUUCAGACAAAAAUAA
rnacentral:lncRNA from 1 species